rnacentral:rRNA from 1 species
GACGAACGCUGGCGGCGUGCUUAACACAUGCAAGUCGAGCGGUAAGGCCCUUUCGGGGGUACACGAGCGGCGAACGGGUGAGUAACACGUGGGUGACCUGCCCUCAGCUCUGGGAUAAGCCUGGGAAACCGGGUCUAAUACCGGAUAUGACUCCAUGACGCAUGUUGUGGGGUGGAAAGCCUUGUGCGGCUGAGGAUGGGCCCGCGGCCUAUCAGCUUGUUGGUGGGGUGAUGGCCUACCAAGGCGACGACGGUAGCCGGCCUGAGAGGGCGACCGGCCGACACUGGGACUGAGACACGGCCCACGACUCCUACGGGAGGG